rnacentral:rRNA from 1 species
CUGACCGAUAGUGAACCAGUACCGUGAGGGAAAGGCGAAAAGAACCCCGGCGAGGGGAGUGAAAAAGAACCUGAAACCGUGUACGUACAAGCAGUGGGAGCACAGAGCAAUCUGUGUGACUGCGUACCUUUUGUAUAAUGGGUCAGCGACUUAUAUUCUGUAGCAAGGUUAACCGAAUAGGGGAGCCGAAGGGAAACCGAGUCUUAACUGGGCGUUAAGUUGCAGGGUAUAGACCCGAAACCCGGUGAUCUAGCCAUGGGCAGGUUGAAGGUUGGGUAACACUAACUGGAGGACCGAACCGACUAAUGUUGAAAAAUUAGCGGAUGACUUGUGGCUGGGGGUGAAAGGCCAAUCAAACCGGGAGAUAGCUGGUUCUCCCCGAAAGCUAUUUAGGUAGCGCCUCGUGAAUUCAUCUCCGGGGGUAGAGCACUGUUUCGGCAAGGGGGUCAUCCCGACUUACCAACCCGAUGCAAACUGCGAAUACCGGAGAAUGUUAUCACGGGAGACACACGGCGGGUGCUAACGUCCGUCGUGAAGAGGGAAACAACCCAGACCGCCAGCUAAGGUCCCAAAGUCAUGGUUAAGUGGGAAACGAUGUGGGAAGGCCCAGACAGCCAGGAUGUUGGCUUAGAAGCAGCCAUCAUUUAAAGAAAGCGUAAUAGCUCACUGGUCGAGUCGGCCUGCGCGGAAGAUGUAACGGGGCUAAACCAUGCACCGAAGCUGCGGCAGCGACACUGUGUGUUGUUGGGUAGGGGAGCGU